UUAGUUGCCAGCAUUCAGUUGGGCACUCUAGGGAGACUGCCGGUGACAAACCGGAGGAAGGUGGGGAUGACGUCAAAUCAUCAUGCCCCUUAUGAGUUGGGCUACACACGUGCUACAAUGGACGGUACAAAGGGCAGCGAGACCGCGANGUGGAGCCAAUCCCAUAAAGCCGUUNCCAGUUCGGAUUGCAGUCUGCAACUCGCCUGCAUGAAGUCGGNAUCGGCUAGUNAUUGCAGGUCAGCAUNGCUGCGGUGAAUACGUUUCCCGGGUCUUGUACACNCCGCCCGUCACACCAACGAGAGUUNGCNACACCCGAAGCCGAUGAGUAA
rnacentral:rRNA from 1 species